rnacentral:ncRNA from 1 species
UAUAGGCAGUGGCUUUGUUAAUGGAACCCACCAGAGCCAUAGCAAGAGCGAGUCUUCAUGGGGAAAUUGUCACUACUUAUGGACCCAAAAUUGGGUGAUCUAUUGAUGACCAAGAUGAAUAUUGGGUGAAACUAAGUGGAGUUAUGAAUUGAAUGAUGGUGAAAAAUCAUUGGAUGAGUCAUGGUUAGGGGUGAAAUUCCACUCCAAUCGAGAGCUAUCUAG